GUAUUUGAUUUUUCUUUAGGUGGGUAUCUGUUUGCUCUUUAUUUAGCUUCAACUUUGUAACCGCACAUUUACAUUUUCGCCUAUUUAUGCACGAUUGCAUUCUAUGCCAUUCAAGACUCAAAACUCUUCCAGAUUCAAUGAAUGUAUCUUGUACCACUUAGGUUGAUGCUGUGGCCCUCCUAGGAGAGAAGGGAGCUGUAGAAGCUGGCAGAGGCAGACAGAGCUCACUGCGGCCACGAUCUUCUGUGCUACAGACAAGGCCACCACUGCGCCCCUGCCUCCAACUGCUCUGCUGGUACCUAUGGAAAAGGCUCUUUCUCAGAUACCCCAACUCCUUCUGCAAUUGGAGGGCAAGCUAGAAUGAAUGAGCAUGGGUUUUGGUCCCAACAUCGGAAGAAGAACCCUAAUUCUUGCUGUGGAUGGUGAAUGUGGUCCCUGAGGUGAGGUGCAGAUGGCUGUCUAUGAAAAGUUACUCUUCAUACGCUUACAAACACAGAGCCUGGGUGAUUCAGAUAAUAUCUGUUCUGCUUCCACUUAGGAGUCUGGCAAAUGAAGGACACAAAAUAAAAUAUUUUUUAAAAAUGGUGCCUAAAUUUAAGAAUAAAAUCCAUGUCUAAGCACUUAAGCACUUAAAUAUGUGGUCUGAUUAAAAAAAAAAUUGGAAUCAAGAAAACACCAGCAAGGCCAGCUGGGAGGUGAUGACUUGGAGAAUUCCAUCCCUAAUUUUGUUGUCUAAAUAAGAAUCCAGGAAUAGGGCCCAGGAUCUCAUUUUGAACAAAAUAUUUGUAUGAAUGCUGCCUAGAGCUGGAAGGAUUAAAUUGGAUCACUGAUCUCCUCUGCACUGGGAAAUCACUAGAAUUUUUUUUAAAGCACUGCUCAUGUUAUUGGGCAUUCAGAAGAUUGAAUAUGAUGGUUGGGCAUUGAAAAGACACAGGAAGGUCUGUUCUAAUCCCCAACACAAAUGUUGGAGCAUGCUACCAAGCCCUACUGCCUUGACAUAGAAGGCCCAGGUGUUAGCAACCCAGAACCAGUGUAAGACACUGCUCCUUGCACUGACUCCAGCCACCCACCAGCCUGUCUGUCCA
rnacentral:lncRNA from 1 species